AUUGAACGCUGGCGGCAGGCUUAACACAUGCAAGUCGAGCGGAGAUGAGGUGCUUGCACCUUAUCUUAGCGGCGGACGGGUGAGUAAUGCUUAGAAAUCUGCCUAUUAGUGGGGGACAACAUUCCGAAAGGAAUGCUAAUACCGCAUACGUCCUACGGGAGAAAGCAGGGGAUCUUCGGACCUUGCGCUAAUAGAUGAGCCUAAGUCGGAUUAGCUAGUUGGUGGGGUAAAGGCCUACCAAGGCGACGAUCUGUAGCGGGUCUGAGAGGAUGAUCCGACACGCUGGGACUGAGACACGGCCCAGACUCCUACGGGAGGCAGCAGUGGGGAAUAUUGGACAAUGGGGGGAACCCUGAUCCAGCCAUGCCGCGUGUGUGAAGAAGGCCUUAUGGUUGUAAAGCACUUUAAGCGAGGAGGAGGCUACUGAGACUAAUACUCUUGGAUAGUGGACGUUACUCGCAGAAUAAGCAUCGGCUAACUCUGUGCCAGCAGCCGCCGUAACAC
rnacentral:rRNA from 1 species